rnacentral:rRNA from 1 species
UACGUAGGCAGCAAGCGUUGUUCGGAAUUACUGGGCGUAAAGAGUGUGUAGGCGGUGUUCUAAGUCUGUUGUGAAAUCUCCCGGCUUAACUGGGAGGGUGCGGCGGAAACUGGAAUGCUAGAGGAUGGGAGAGGUAAGCGGAAUUCCCGGUGUAGAGGUGAAAUUCGUAGAUAUCGGGAGGAACACCAGUGGCGAAGGCGGCGACCUGGGCCAAUAUUGACGCUGAGGUGCGAAAGCGUGGGGAGCAAACAGG